rnacentral:rRNA from 1 species
AUUGAACGCUGGCGGCAGGCCUAACACAUGCAAGUCGAACGGUAACAGGAAACAGCUUGCUGUUUCGCUGACGAGUGGCGGACGGGUGAGUAAUGUCUGGGAAACUGCCUGAUGGAGGGGGAUAACUACUGGAAACGGUAGCUAAUACCGCAUAACGUCGCAAGACCAAAGAGGGGGACCUUCGGGCCUCUUGCCAUCGGAUGUGCCCAGAUGGGAUUAGCUAGUAGGUGGGGUAACGGCUCACCUAGGCGACGAUCCCUAGCUGGUCUGAGAGGAUGACCAGCCACACUGGAACUGAGACACGGUCCAGACUCCUACGGGAGGCAGCAGUGGGGAAUAUUGCACAAUGGGCGCAAGCCUGAUGCAGCCAUGCCGCGUGUAUGAAGAAGGCCUUCGGGUUGUAAAGUACUUUCAGCGGGGAGGAAGGGAGUAAAGUUAAUACCUUUACUCAUUGACGUUACCCUCAGAAGAAGCACCGGCUAACUCCGUG